GGACAGGUGGCCGAGCGGCCGAAGGCGCACGCCUGGAACGCGUGUAGGGGGCAACUCCUCGUGGGUUCAAAUCCCACCCUGUCCGCCA
rnacentral:tRNA from 1 species